rfam:Stereum hirsutum FP-91666 SS1 unplaced genomic scaffold STEHIscaffold_14, whole genome shotgun sequence.
GCUUUCGUGGCUCAGUUGGUUAGAGCGCCGGUCUCAUACAAGUAUGAGUAAUCAACUGAUUACGUAAUCCGGAGAUCACCAGUUCAACCCUGGUCGAGAGCA